rnacentral:rRNA from 1 species
GAGGGAAAGGUGAAAAGCACCCCGACGAGGGGAGUGAAACAGUACCUGAAACCGAACGCCUACAAUCAGUCGGAGCUUGACUGGACUCUAAUGACAUUCUGCGCCAUGCAGUCACCAGAACAAACUGGAGACAAUCAUGGCAGACGGAACCUUCGCAGUGCUCAUGCUGAUUGCUGGGCUCUCCGAUAUGGGGAUGAACCAUUGCGGUACCGACAACGGGUGCUUCGGCAUCUCGGACACCGGAUCGCGCGUCGGCUUUUCGGCCGGCACAGUGGUUGAACGCCGCGCCGACAAAGGAUCGGAGAUCUAUCUCCGCUACGACCUCGGAAAGAACAUCGGCCCCUUCGGCCAGGCGAUCGGCCUGUCCUACGGCGACGAAAGCGGUUCCUGGAUCGGCUAUGGCUGGACCUGGGAAACCUACUUCGGAAAGAGCCCGUUCUACACGCAGCUGCACGCGAUGCCCGGGCUCUACGCCGCGGGUGACAACUUCGAUCUGGGUGGACCCAUCGAGUUCCGCUCCGGCAUCGAGCUCGGAUACGAGGCGAAGAACGGUUGGCGGUAUGGCAUGUCCUACGAUCACCGGUCCAAUGCCGGGAUCUACGACAACAAUCCCGGAAUCGAAACCGUGCAAUUCAGAGUGAGCGUUCCACUCAACUGAUCCCAGAUGUUAUUAGUGUCCAGUCUUGUGACGGCGUACCUUUUGUAUAAUGGGUCAUCGACUUGGUCUAUCUAGCAAGCUUAAGCCGUUAGGUGUAGGCGCAG